CCUACGGGAGGCAGCAGUGGGGGAUAUUGGAUAAUGGGGGGAACCCUGAUCCAGCGACGCCGCGUGAGUGAAGAAGUAUUUCGGUAUGUAAAGCUCUGUCAGCAGGGAAGAAAGAAAUGACGGUACCUGACCAAGAAGCCCCGGCUAACUACGUGCCAGCAGCCGCGGUAAUACGUAGGGGGCAAGCGUUAUCCGGAAUUACUGGGUGUAAAGGGAGCGUAGACGGUUAAGUAAGUCUGGUGUGAAAGGCAGGGGCUCAACCCCGGUCCUGCAGUGGAAACUAGUUAACUUGAGUGCAGGAGAGGUAGGCGGAAUUCGUAGUGUAGCGGUGAAAUGCGUAGAUAUUAGGAAGAACACCGAUGGCGAAGGCAGCUUGCUGGAGUGUAACUGACGUUGAGGCUCGAAAGCGUGGGGAGCAAACAGGAUUAGAUACCCUUGUAGUC
rnacentral:rRNA from 1 species